UACGUAGGGUGCAAGCGUUGUCCGGAAUUAUUGGGCGUAAAAAAGCUCGUAGGCGGUCUGUCGCGUCGGCUGUGAAAACCCGGAGCUCAACUCCGGGCCUGCAGUCGAUACGGGCAGACUGGAGUUCGGCAGGGGAGACUGGAAUUCCUGGUGUAGCGGUGAAAUGCGCAGAUAUCAGGAGGAACACCGGUGGCGAAGGCGGGGUCUCUGGGGCCGAUACUGACGCUGAGGAGCGAAAGCGUGGGGAGCGAACAGG
rnacentral:rRNA from 1 species